AGGGGAAUAUAGCACAAUGGGGGAAACCCUGAUGCAGCGACGCCGCGUGAACGAAGAAGGUAUUCGUAUCGUAAAGUUCUGUCCUAUGGGAAGCUAAUGACAGUACCAUAGAAGAAAGCUCGGGCUAAAUACGUGCCAGCAGCCGCGGUAAUACGUAUGGAGCGAGCGUUGUCCGGAAUUAUUGGGCGUAAAGGGUACGCAGGCGGGUUAAUAAGUCGAAUGUUAAAGAUCGGGGCUCAACCCCGUAAAGCAUUGGAAACUGAUAAACUUGAGUAGUGGAGAGGAAAGUUCAAUUCCUAGUGUAGUGGUGAAAUACGUAGAUAUUAGGUGGAAUACCAGUAUCGAAGGCGACUUUCUGGACACAAACUGACGCUGAGGUACGAAAGCGUGGGGAGCAAACAGG
rnacentral:rRNA from 1 species